UCCUUUUUUGGCAGAACAUUGCAAUAGAAUUAGAAUCUAUCUACUCCUA
rnacentral:tRNA from 1 species